CUAGAGUUUGAUCCUGGCUCAGAGCGAACGCUGGCGGCAGGCUUAACACAUGCAAGUCGAGCGGGCCCUUCGGGGUCAGCGGCGGACGGGUGAGUAACGCGUGGGAACGUGCCUUCUGGUUCGGAAUAACCCUGGGAAACUAGGGCUAAUACCGGAUACGCCCUUUUGGGGAAAGGUUUACUGCCGGAAGAUCGGCCCGCGUCUGAUUAGCUAGUUGGUGGGGUAACGGCCUACCAAGGCGACGAUCAGUAGCUGGUCUGAGAGGAUGAUCAGCCACACUGGGACUGAGACACGGCCCAGACUCCUACGGGAGGCAGCAGUGGGGAAUAUUGGACAAUGGGCGCAAGCCUGAUCCAGCCAUGCCGCGUGAGUGAUGAAGGCCUUAGGGUUGUAAAGCUCUUUUAUCCGGGACGAUAAUGACGGUACCGGAGGAAUAAGCCCCGGCUAACUUCGUGCCAGCAGCCGCGGUAAUACGAAGGGGGCUAGCGUUGCUCGGAAUCACUGGGCGUAAAGGGCGCGUAGGCGGCGUUUUAAGUCGGGGGUGAAAGCCUGUGGCUCAACCACAGAAUGGCCUUCGAUACUGGGACGCUUGAGUAUGGUAGAGUGGGGAUACUUGCGAUGUAGAGGUGAAAUUGG
rnacentral:rRNA from 1 species